GUUAAAUCUCGUUCAGGCAGCAGAAGGACUGGAGCUCACCCAGCGCCUGGGCUGGGGAGGAGCAGCCAAAAAACCCCACGGCGCAAACCUCUCCUGGGCCAACGCGCGCACCGGCGCGGGCAGGGUAGGGAGGCAGGAUGCGGCCCCGGCUCGCCUUCCCCACGGCCGCGCCGCCCAGCGCCGCCGUGCCCACCGCCCACACCCACGGGCAGCCACCGAGCCCCCGCAUUGCCUGGGGGCCCCCGAAACGAUGGUCGGCAUUUGGAGGGGGUGCCAAAGAAGCGAGCCAGUCCCUCGCGGCGUGGGGAAGGCGGAUGCUUUCCUGCAUCACGCAGCAAGGUCAAACCCCGGCACUGCCCGCCCCAGGGGAGCGAACGCGGCGCAGCUUCGCCCGCGCGGCGCUGCAGGGACCUGCCCUCGCUCCCCGCGGGCUCCAGUCCACCGGGCUCCCACGAAACAUGUCGGCAGUCCCAUGCCCGGUGCUGGGCGUCAAAUUGCCCCGAGACUGCUGGCUCAGGCCAGGGCUUGUCGCCUCCUGUUGCAAUAACGCGGGCCGAUUGCCGGCUCCCGGCUGGGCUGGCUCCUGCCCUGCUCUGCUCUGGCAGGCAGGAUCUGGCCGGCCGCACAGCCACCGAGCCCAGGGAAGCUCGCAGCACCAGCAGCACCUCUCCCAUCAUGCCGGGGAGGCGAAGUGUGCGCCCAGGCCAUCCUGUCCCAUGGCACACGGUCCCCAGCCACCCCAGCACCUCCCUGGAGGUGUCACAACAUCGCUGCAAGCCGCCCGGUUCUGGCACCACCUGCGGUGUUCUGUGCCUCGUUCCCUGAAGCCAGGCACAUCCCUGAGUGAAUCCCAAAUCCCCCUCAAGCCUCCUGGGCUGCACAGCAUGGGGUGGCCACCCCUGCCACGAUGCAAACUGCCGACGUGCCAGGCUUCUACCAGAGCCACGGUGCCUUCUGUCCCAUUUGGGAUGGGCCCCUGCAGGGUUUUUUGGGGGAGAGUAAAACCCCCUUACUGUGCCAAUGGGCAAUAUUUGCACCUUUCUCAACAUCAGCAAAAUGCUUUGCUGCCAGCGUGGCUGUGGCAGGGCCCCGCUGCGCCACCGGGGCAGGAGCGGGGGCAAUGCUUCGGUGGGGGCUGCUUGGCACCGAUGGGGUGGUUUGGGGGCGAUGCACCACUGGGACCUGGCACAGGGAUGGGGGGCACGAGUUUCUUCCUCAUACCAGGCGUUUCACAACGGCGGAGGGCAGCGGGGCCGUGCAUGCAGCAGCCUGACGUUGGGCUGAUCGGCACCGUCUUGCCUGGCAUGCGCUUGCGACCAGACAGCUGCCUCCCCCCUGCGGCUCCCCAUCCUCCGUUUUCCACCUCAAGGGACGCUCCCGAGCAGGGGGUUACCCUCCUGGCUUCUUCGUUUGGGUUGAUCGUGGCUGGAGGCUGCAGGAAAUGCAGGCAACAGACCCUGGAUCAUACUUACGGCUCAACCAACUGAUCUGCUCCGCUUUGAGAACUGGUUGAAAAUGAAGAAAAUGAGAAAUAUUGUGUUUUCUUUUCUCACACUGCAGAGCCAAGCAUGGGGAAUGCCGGAUGCUGCCGGCUCUGCCCAUGCACUCCCUGUGCCUCGGUUUCCCCACUCCAGCGGACCUGUCCUUGGCACUGCACCCAAGCACUGCAGUGCUCCAGCACCGGGCAAAUACGAGCCAGGAGAAGAGAGUCACAAAGUCCCCAUCCAUGCCCUCAUCGCCGAUUUGUGUUUGCUCAGAGCCCAGUCCCCUCCUGGCUGGACCCCCGGCCUAUUUUCAGCAGGGAAAAUUCCCUGGGGGGGGUUCUCUGUGGACCUUUCCCACCUUUCCCAGGCCUCAGCUACAACCCGAUGCCACCUCCUGCAGCUGAAAAUGCCCACUGGGAGCCAGUGUGGGGCCGGGGCUCGUCCCCCCACCAGGGCCACCCACUGUCCCCAGCUCUUGACACCUGACUUUAUAAGAUUUGCACCCGAAGGGGCCCCAAAACGAGCCACAGGGCCUAUUUAUAUCCCUGGCUGCGGGUGCU
ensembl:lncRNA